GUGCCUCGAUAGAAUAAGACAUAUGGCUGAUUUAACACCUGCCUCGAUAGGCCUCGAUAGACCUCGAUAGACCUUGAUGAUAUUAGAUAUAUUCAAUUUUAGUGUGCCUCGAUAGAAUAAGACAUGUGGUUGAUUUAGCAUCUGACUCGAUAUGCCUCGAUAGAAUAAAACUUAUGGCUGAUUUAGCACCUGCCUCAAUAGGCCUUGAUAGAGGUAGAUAUAUUAUGAUUUCGCAUUGCCUCGAUAGGACCCGAUAGGCCUCGAUAGAACUAUGCAUUUUCUGAUUUUACAUAGGCCUCGAUAAUCCUUGAUAUGCCUCGAUAGUUACCAGAUUGUUUAAAAUUGUAUUUUUAACAUUUUUUUUUGUUUUUUUUUUCCAGAUGCCUGAAUUUAUUGUGCCAUUGGAGAAACACUUUCCUGGUCAUGUCACAUAUAGGGGUAGUGCUUACUUGGAAGCCCUUAUAGAGCAGUUUAAGAGGCACGAGCUAAUUGAACCGGCAGAGGCAUGCUCGUUGGGACAGUUCUUCAAGGCUAAGUCAUUUAGUUUUUCUGGGGUUCUGCUACAUCAGCUUAUGUUGCAGAAGGUGGAAAGCAAGAAGGCUGAAGAAGGCCAAUUCUACUUGGGCAACAUCCUUUGCAAAUUUGGGAUUGCAGAGUUUGCCCUAGUCACGGGGCUGAAUUUCGGGAACACCUCGUCCCCAGACGAGUUGAGAGAGCAUCUUUCAAGUGAUCGGAUCAUCCAUGAAUACGUUAAUGGUGAUUCGAAGGUUAGUUUUGGCCAGUUGGAAGAUACUUUGAAUGCCUCGACAAACCAAGAAGAUGCAUUUAAGCUGGGUUUGUGCUAUUUGAUAGAAGGGGUAUUGAAUGCCCCAGAGAAGACAACGACGAUAUCGGGUGAUUCCCUAAAGAUGGUUGAGGAUCUUGACUACUUUUUCAAGUAUCUGUGGGGGAAGAUGUCCUUCAAGAAGGUUAUUAGAGGAGUUCACAAUGACAUGCAGAAGCAAUUGAAGCAUUACGAGGAGAAGAAGAAAGAUGGUUUGAACAAAAAAACAAAAGGAGUCGAAGUAUAGUUUCUAUGGCUAUGCCCCUACACUUCUGUAUUGGGAUUUUGAGGCUAUGCCAGCUAUCGAGAGUAAGUUCGGUGAGAACAGUGGGAACCAAAUUCCCAGAAUGCUUAGCUGGGCUACGAAGACCGAUAUCACUAUUUUGACAGCUGAGUUGGUUCCUAUAUUCACCAAACGUCGAUUAGUGGUACUUUCCAUGCUGAAGCCACUUCCCGGUGAGGUAGUCUACUACAAUAGCCUCCCAGACGUUGAUUCCAAGUUAUUCCCUGAGUUGGAAUCAACUGUAGUAAAGGCUGGGAUUGCAGGGAGGAAGUAGUGCCUAAGAAGGAGGUAGAGAAGCUGGCAGAGGUUGCAAAGGAAGCUUCCAUUUAUUACGAGGAUGUCCCAAGGGUUGAGGAGGGCACUUCACAAACCUAGGCACCUUCCUCUAGUCAGGUUGCCCAGCCUAAUUAUGAGCAGUUGAUGCAGAGGCUCCAGAGGGUUUAGGAGGGCCAGGCAACCUUACUUCAGAAUCAGACUACGAUCAUGGCUUAGUUGGCGCAACUACUUUUAGUGGUCUCAGGUUGAUCCACCCACUUAAAAUCAGAUACAGAGUCUGAUAUCUUGCCUGAGGACUAUGAGCUCGGUGAUCCACCCUCCACUCCACAGGCCCAGACAUCUGUAGUUUCCAGUGAUGCCGACAAUCCCAGUGUACGAGUACUACAGUCUGAGGAGGCAGCCGGCCUUGAAGUUGUCAGGAAGAAACGCUGGCCCAAGCGUUUUGAUGACUUCACCGACCCAACGAAGAGGAUGAGAGUAGAUAAACAGGGGCUAGUUACUGAACCUUUGAGGAAGUGUGAUCCGAAAUAGGAGAAGAGCUUCCAUAAGUGGAUCAUCGGGAGGAUCGACAACAAGAUAGAUCGGAACAUCCAUACUGGGACGCACGGUGUGGCAUGGUUCUUGCAGUUGCACACAAUCCAGACUUGGCUUUGGGAUUCGUUUGUAAAUUACAUUUAUAUUUUCAAUUCAAUCUUAGAUAUAUAUUGAUGGUACUAACGAAUUUUCAUGUUUUUCAGCAUAUUGAUGCCGCUCUGCACAUGCUACGCUGCUGACGCCACUUUUAUCAUGCCGCAUUUCGGCAGGAUGCUGCAAUCAUGAACACCACCUUCCCCCAAGUGUGCCUAGGUCGUUGGAAUCAUUUCAGAGAGACUGACACUAAGUAUACAUGGGAUGAUGAUGUGUUGAAAAUGCUGAAGGGCGAUGAUAAUAAAUUCCUCGUAUCCUGGAAAAAUGUGAGUGAAGUAUAUUUUGCCUUGCACGUCGAGAAAGUCACACAUUGGAUCGCCAUUGAAGUCUCCAUUCCAACGUGGUGCAUCAACAUUUAUGAUUCCAACCAUAGCGUGCUUAGUCCAACUUUGUUGGAGGAAGUGAUCAAGCCUUGGUGCUUAUUGUUGCCUUCGUUGUUGUGGUGUUCUGGCAUGUUUGACGACCAUGACGACCUCCAAACAGAUCCUAAGCAGAACGCAAAGCCUUUUUCGUAUUGUCGUAUUUCUCUUGAGGAGUGUCCUCACACUAAGACAAGUGGGGAUUGUGGUCUGAUUGCCAUCAAACAUAUCAAGCAUUUGGUUUCCAGGCUACCACUCGAUACCAUUAUCGAUGAGAACAUCCAGCAUUUCAGGACCAAGUGGUGUGUGGACCUAUUUUAUUAGAAUUUGUCACCGUGGUGCUCUUUACAUUUUCUUG